rnacentral:ncRNA from 1 species
UUUCCCUCGGGAUAGCUAGCGCUCGAAGUCUCGCAGUUUUAUCUGGUAAAGCGAAUGAUUAGAGGUCUUGGGGCCAAAACGAUCUCAACCUAUUCUCAAACUUUAAAUGGGUAAGAAGCCCGGCUCGCUGGCUUGGAGCCGGGCAUGGAAUGCGAGCCCAA